rnacentral:rRNA from 1 species
AAGCAGCCAUUCAUUUAAAGAGUGCGUAACAGCUCACUAGUCGAGGAGUCCGGCGUGGAUAAUACUCGGGCAUAAACUGUUUACCGAAGCUAUGGAUGUAGAAAUACAUGGUAGGGGAGCAUUCCAACGGCGUCGAAGGUGAAGGAUGACCUUUGCUGGAGCUUUUGGAAACGCAAAUGUAGGUAUAAGUAACGAUAAAGGAGGUGAGAAACCUCCUCGCCGAAAGACUAAGGUUUCCUGAUCAACGUUAAUCGGAUCAGGGUAAGUCGGGACCUAAGGUUAAGCCGAACGGCGAUACCGAUGGAAGAAUGGUUUAAUAUUCCCAUACUACUUUAUGGAGCGAUGUGGAGACGGAGAAGUGAAAGUCCUGCCAUCUGACGGAAUAGGUGGUUGAAGAGUGUAGAUGUAGAUUCCUGUAGGCAAAUCCGCAGGGAGAGUCGACCUUGACAGUAUGCCGCGUGCUUGCACAAGGCAAAAUGGACGUAAUCAGGCUCCCAAGAAAAUCCGCUAAGCAUAUUCAUAAAGUACCCGUACCGUAAACGGACACACGUAGUUGGGUUGAAAAUACUGAGGC